AACGAACGCUGGCGGCAUGCCUAAUACAUGCAAGUCGAACGAUCACUUCGGUGGUAGUGGCGCACGGGUGCGUAACGCGUGGGAAUCUGCCCUUGGGUUCGGAAUAACGUCGGGAAACUGACGCUAAUACCGGAUGAUGACGUAAGUCCAAAGAUUUAUCGCCCAGGGAUGAGCCCGCGUAGGAUUAGCUAGUUGGUGGGGUAAAGGCCUACCAAGGCGACGAUCCUUAGCUGGUCUGAGAGGAUGAUCAGCCACACUGGGACUGAGACACGGCCCAGACUCCUACGGGAGGCAGCAGUAGGGAAUAUUGGACAAUGGGCGCAAGCCUGAUCCAGCAAUGCCGCGUGAGUGAUGAAGGCCUUAGGGUUGUAAAGCUCUUUUACCAGAGAUGAUAAUGACAGUAUCUGGGGAAUAAGCCCCGGCUAACUCCGU
rnacentral:rRNA from 1 species